rnacentral:rRNA from 1 species
GAUGAACGCUGGCGGCGUGCCUAACACAUGCAAGUCGAGCGAUUCUCUUCGGAGAAGAGCGGCGGACGGGUGAGUAACGCGUGGGUAACCUGCCCUGUACACACGGAUAACAUACCGAAAGGUAUGCUAAUACGAGAUAAUAUACUUUUAUCACAUGGUAGAAGUAUCAAAGCUUUUGCGGUACAGGAUGGACCCGCGUCUGAUUAGCUAGUUGGUAAGGUAACGGCUUACCAAGGCGACGAUCAGUAGCCGACCUGAGAGGGUGAUCGGCCACAUUGGAACUGAGACACGGUCCAAACUCCUACGGGAGGCAGCAGUGGGGAAUAUUGCACAAUGGGCGAAAGCCUGAUGCAGCAACGCCGCGUGAGUGAUGAAGGCCUUCGGGUCGUAAAGCUCUGUCCUCAAGGAAGAUAAUGACGGUAC